AUCUCUCUCUCUCUCUCUCUCUCUCUCUCUCUCCGCAGAAACGACGCUUUGACAACCACGGCCUUCACCUGCGAUGGAAUUCUCAAGCUGCUUGACUCGCGGCUCAUCCCUUCGGCCUUCACCGGCAACAACAAGGUCUUCUAACUCAAGAUGAAGGGCGAUAACGAUCGCUAUCUUGCUGAGUUCAAGAUCGGGGCCGAGCGCAAUGACUAGUCAACCCUAUUUGAUCUCAUUGUGGAACGUCAAAACCCUAUCUGAACCCUAAUAACGAUUUUCUUCUUGGUCGCGAUUGUUGUGUUUUAGUAUAAGGUUUCGAAAAUUGGGGCUUGGAUUAGUUACAAGUUGAAGUAAGAUGGACGGUGGAAGAGACAACAAAGAUGAGUCUAAUGACAAAGGGCUAUUUUCAUAAUUUGUUGGAUAUGCUGCUGGACACUACCCACAGGUGCCAUUUUAGUUGUGUAUAUGAGUUGGUAAUUAUAAUUGAUUGGCCCAGUUUGAUGUAGUGGUUUGUGAGCGAGCCUUCAUCCUUUGAGGGUCGAGGUUCAAGUCCCCUCAAUGACGGUGGCUGGCAGAUGUGGUGGCCGGAGGUUGGAGUUUGACGGUGGCCGGCGGUGGUGGCCAGAGGCGGGAGUUCGGCGGUGGCGGCGAUUGACUAGAUAUGGACAUGUGGCAUAGUAUGCUUGCCUUAGGAGUGUCAUUGUGUGUAAUUUUGAUAUUUUUUAAUGAUAUUUUUGUAAAAUUAGGUACUACAUUUUGGUUUUGGCCUUGUGCUAAUUAGAUGAAAUUGUAUUCAUAUCUUUCAAAUUAGUAAACUAUAUUGUGUUUUAAAA